GGUAAACCUACAGAAAGGUAGUGCUCCAGGAACAAUUUUGGAGAGCCCUGGGCUACAGUGACAGGCAUAACGCAUCAAACUAACGGAGGGAUUUGGAUAUAAAAUCUUUAUGGAACAAAAGGAACAUUUGCUGUCUAACUGGGAGUCUCGUGAGUUAAAACAUCCGAAGCUCAUCAAAGGAAUAUGUUUUGACUGUGCUAUUCAGCGUUGCUGAUGACAAAUAUACCAGAUCCGGGAUGGGUAGUUCUAAGAUAAGAGGCUCUUGCAGGCAUUCUCUGACCCAAUGACUGAGAUCAACCUGCUCUUUUACCAAGCUACGCUCCCAGCCUUCUCCUGCUUCAACCUCCGACUCCAGAGAGAGCUGUCCUCCACCUUUCUACUACAUGAGGUAAAAUGAGAUGGUGGUAUACUUCUGGCAAGUUCCAUUAAUGUUUAAUAUUGUUUCUUUAUUAUUCUACAUUCAACACUACAUCUUAGGCCAUGUUAUAUUUAACUUAGAAAAUCUGAAUUAAAUGUACAUUUUGUUUAUCCCUUCUAAAAUAUCAUGUAGAUGACAAACUUGCUCAAAGUUUGUGAAGCUUGUUGAUUUUCAGAACCGAGAGCCACAGGAAAUCCUUUGCAAGGAAAAGUCAAACCAACUGUCUGAUAAUGGUUAAUAGGUGGAAUUACACAAGCUGAUUUUGAAUCAUUAGAUUUAAUACUGUCUGCAGAUUCAGUGAAAUAAAAACAUUAAUGUCUGUCGGGCAGUAGCAAAGCUGAAUGUUGGUUUUACAAUAAGAGCCAAGCUCAGCAGGCUUCUCGAGGCUGGAGACAUCAUACGACGGACAGUGGAUACAUUUCACCAGGCUGCGGUUUCAUUUCUGGAGGGGGCUGUCGACCAUACAAAUAAAAUAAAUGACCACUGCCAGAGCCAGUGGACAGAGCCAGUGCUGAAACCAGAUUUGUGGACGUCCGGCAGAGGUCAGAGUGUGCUGUUGAAGACACCUUGUACUUUGUGGACAGUUCCUGGAUUAUCAGCUCAUGGAUGAUCCUUAAAAUCCAGCCACAGAGGACAUUAAGAGCUUUUGGGGACAUCUGGUCUCAUUGAAGCAUAAGGUGACAGAGAUGAACAGAUUUGGGUGACUCUCAAACAUUGCCAAGAUGGUCUUGAUUCUUCCUCACUCAGAUACGGAUGCUGAUCAUGUUUUCUGGGUGGUGGGGCUCAACAAAACCAAAAUGAGAAACAGUUUGGCCUGUGAUGGAACCCGGUCUUCCAUUAUGACAGUGAAAAUGGUUGGCUUUGAACCAGCCUGCUACAUGUGGGAGCCCCCCCACCCCUGUCAUCAAGAUAUCAAAAACGGCAACAAGCACUUACAACAAAGAACACAGUCAUUAAAAGGGGGGAGGGGGCUGGAGAGGUGGAGGGAUGAAGGUGGAGAAAGGGAG